GAUGAACGCUGGCGGCGUGCCUAAUACAUGCAAGUCGAGCGAACAGACGAGGAGCUUGCUCCUCUGACGUUAGCGGCGGACGGGUGAGUAACACGUGGAUAACCUACCUAUAAGACUGGGAUAACUUCGGGAAACCGGAGCUAAUACCGGAUAAUAUAUUGAACCGCAUGGUUCAAUAGUGAAAGACGGUUUUGCUGCCACUUAUAGAUGGAUCCGCGCCGCAUUAGCUAGUUGGUAAGGUAACGGCUUACCAAGGCAACGAUGCGUAGCCGACCUGAGAGGGUGAUCGGCCACACUGGAACUGAGACACGGUCCAGACUCCUACGGGAGGCAGCAGUAGGGAAUCUUCCGCAAUGGGCGAAAGCCUGACGGAGCAACGCCGCGUGAGUGAUGAAGGUCUUCGGAUCGUAAAACUCUGUUAUUAGGGAAGAACAAAUGUGUAAGUAACUAUGCACGUCUUGACGGUACCUAAUCUGAAAGCCACGGCUAACUACGUG
rnacentral:rRNA from 1 species